rnacentral:lncRNA from 1 species
GCUGCCACCAGCUCUGCAGACCAGGAGUCCCCAUACAUGUCACCAGGUAACAAGAGAAAAGGUAACCUGUACACUGGCUGGACCAGGUCUCUGGAACCCUUGCCUCUUCCAAUGGCUGCUGGAGGAAUUGGGGACAAGAGAAAGAACACACAGAAGUACUUACUGACAGCAAAUCCAAUGUCAUUAUGAUUGUCCUGAUGGCAGGCUGCUUCUCAUUUACCCAAAUUACCAAUCCCAUCAUGCCAUGACCAUGUUAGAUUGUUUAGGAAACAGAUGACAUAUGUUCUAAUGUUAAAUAAGCUGAAACUGUGCCAGAAUGGAGACAGAAGGUGUUUGUUUAUUUUUAAGUGAAGCAUGGCACUCUUGAAUGAGUUAUUAUGGUAGGGAAGGAGGACACUGAGGGGAAUGAGGCAUGGUUGUGGUAGUAGGUUAUGAAUGAAAGCAUUGCUUAUUGCCCAAAUAGAGAUGAAUGACUUCUGACCCCUCUGUUACCCAAAGGGAGACUUGUUAAAUUUGGCCAGAGAAGUCUUAGUUUCUAGGCAACAUUUGAUUUUCUCCUCAGUCUCUGAUGUUCCCCCUGAAUGCAGGUGUUCAAUAAACUAUUUUAGUACCAGAAAUAUGGCAGUGA